CCUACGGGAGGCAGCAGUGAGGAAUAUUGGUCAAUGGGCGGAAGGCUGAACCAGCCAAGCCGCGUGAAGGAGGAAGGCCCAGAGCGUCGCAGACCUCUUUUACCGGGGAACAAAGGGCCGGACGCGUCCGUUCCUGAGUGUACCCUACGAAUAAGCAUCGGCUAACUCCGUGCCAGCAGCCGCGGUAAUACGGAGGAUGCGGGCGUUAUCCGGAUUCAUUGGGUUUAAGGGGUGCGCAGGCGGGCGUUUAAGCCGGCGGUGAAAUGGAGGGGCUCAACCCGGACGAGCCGUCGGAACUGGGGGGCUUGAGUGCAGGGGAGGGAGGCGGAAUGCGCGGUGUAGCGGUGAAAUGCAUAGAUAUCGCGCAGAACCCCGAUUGCGAAGGCAGCGUGCUGUGCCGCCACUGACGCUGAGGCACGAAAGCGCGGGGAUCGAACAGGAUUAGAUACCCGAGUAGUC
rnacentral:rRNA from 1 species